rnacentral:rRNA from 1 species
UACGGAGGGUGCGAGCGUUGUCCGGAAUCACUGGGCGUAAAGGGCGCGUAGGCGGCGCGGUGAGUCAACGGUGAAAGCUCGGCGCUCAACGCCGAGUCGGCCGUCGAUACUCCCGUGCUCGAGCACUGUAGAGGCAGGUGGAAUUCCGGGUGUAGCGGUGGAAUGCGUAGAGAUCCGGAAGAACACCGGUGGCGAAGGCGGCCUGCUGGGCAGUAGCUGACGCUGAGGCGCGACAGCGUGGGGAGCAAACAGG